UUUAAAAGGUCACGUGAGAAGCCCUGGCGACUAUAGAGAACGAAGGGAAAUGGAGACGCUCGUCCUCAUAACGGAUAACUAGAGUUGAUUGCGUAUCUUAGUCUUUUCUUUGGAAUUUCCUCAAAAGGCUAUUUUGUUGAUCCACCGGUGAGAGCUGGCAGCCUCAGGAGGAUCAGGACAAGUUUGCUAAGUCUUUAACAGCAUGUAGGCGAAGAAAACUGAUCGUGAAAACUACUUCGGGACGACCGUUCAAUUUUUAGAAGCCCUGGCCUCUUUUGCACUCGUCUAGCUAACGAUGGGAUUUUUUAAAAAAAAAUUCUAGUAUUGCAGUUCAAAAACGUUCUAUCGAUCAAGGUCCCCCCCCCUUUUUAAAAUUCUAUCACAUAAACUAGAAAUGCAUUACUUUUCAGCCCAAAGUCUCACCACUUCAAGUGCAUAGUAUAUACUAUCAGUUUAGAAGUUCCAGCUAGGCUACAUGCCUUUCUUUGCAUAUGCCCAGUUUCUCAUGGGAUGAAGAUUGACUGUGGUUAAUAGCAUUAUGCACACCUCAAAGUGGGAUUUUUUUCCUUCAAUCUUGCAACAAUAUCUCUUUUAGAUUUCUUCAGAAAUUUUACAACAUAUACAUUGCAGAUAAUUAAAUCAGCUAUUUUCACGAAGGUGCUGACAAUACUACAUAUUUUUACUGAGAUGUACAUUCAGCUGAACUCAUAGAAACUUCCUUUAGAGCAGGCAACAAGUGGUUUUUCAGACAUUGCUGCAUUAUAAACUCUCAUCAUCCCUCCCUACGGCCAUGUUACCAAGGUAGCUGGAAUUUGGCAGUAUCUGGAAGUCAUAAUUGUGUACCACUGCCUUAGAAGCCAGAAUUGAGAAGAUAGCAACAGACAGCAAGUGCCACCUAAUGUAAAGAAGCUGAAGAAACAGUGGACUGCCUGGUUAGCUGCUGCAAGAAGAUCGCACAGACUGACCACAAACAAUGGCAUGACAAAGUAGCAACAAUGGUGCAUUGGAAAAUAUGCAAGAAAUAUCAUUUGCCUGCAAGCAAGAACUGAUGGGACAGUAUAAUAGAAAGUCACAGAAAAUGAAGAAGCUAAAUUUGCCCUGGGACUUUAGAAUUCAAACAGAUAGGCACAUAAAAGUCUGGACAGUGGAUGUGGCAAACUAUAAGUAAGUAAGGCCUGCAAACAGAAAUAGAACAAUUGUAUUUGUAAUGUAUUUGUGGAAAAAUGGUAAUAAUUCAAAUUGAAGUGAAGAAAGAAGAAACAGCAAAAUGGAGCCAGAAAGAAAACCGAGACGGCACACGGAAGGAAUUGUUGAUGCUUUAAAUGUAUGUUUGCCUAUAAAAUAAAAAGCUUUUUUUUAAAAAAAAGAAAUAGAACAAUUGUGGCAAAAGAAAGCAAAGAAAGUCAUAGGAGCCUUGCGUGUAGUCUCAAAACAACGAUCACCACUUGAACAUCAUCAGCAUUGACAAAUUCACUAUCAAUCAAUUGCAAAAGGUGGCUUUACUUGGAAAGAGUUUACAUGCUGUGUCAAAAUCUGUAACACCAUCAAACAUCCACCUCUGCCUAUCCCAGGUCCUUGGAAAGAAUUCGAUAGACCAAAAUGCCAAAUCCAGUCUCAAUAUCUGCCUGACUGCAAUGAAUCAUCAUAAUAAUUAAUCAGUCAAUUGCAAAAGCCAGAUUUACUUGGAACAGCUUACAUUCUGUUCCUUAAUAAAUGUGUACAAAGCCAAUACUGAGAAGACAGAAACAAAUGCUGCCUCUGCAAAGAAGCUCAUGAGGACCAUCUAGUUAGCUGUCACAAAAUCACAUAGACUGACUACAAACCUUGGCAUGACAAAGUAGCAACAAUGGUACACUGGAAUAUCUGCAAGAAAUACCAUUGGCCUGCAAGCAAGACUGGUGGGACCACAAAAUAGACUAAGUAGUAGAAAGUGAAAAUGCUGAAGGCCCUAGGAUUUUAUAAUUCAAACAGAUACCUGCCAAUAACAUCCCAGACUAAACAAAUGUCAUUAAAAAAGCAAAAAAACUCUGAAUAGUGAAUGUGACAGUAUCUGGAGAUAGCAGAGUAAAAGAGAAGAACCGCAGAAAAUUACAAAGAACUGCAAGUAAAAGUUGAACAACUGUGACAAAAGAAAGCAAAGAUAGUACCAAUAGUAACAGGAGCCUUAGGAGCAAUCCCGAAACAACUGGAGCACCAGCUGAACACCAUUGGCAUUAACAGAAUCAACACUAGUCAAUUGCUUCAUUUGGAACAGCAAGUAUAUUUCUAACACAAUGAAACAACAACAUCUACCUAUCUCAAGUCCAUUCAGUAGGUCGAUUAAAAUGCCAAACCCAGUCUGAUUUGGCUGACUGUGCAACCAAUCAUAUUAGUCUAGUAAACAUAUUUGUUUCCAAUUCACAUUCAAAAAAUCUAUAGAAAGGCAUUUAGUAGUACACAUGAAAGUUGGGUUAUUACAUACUUAUCCUACAUAUCUACUGUAUAGUGCCCUUUCCUUUUUUCAGUUACUUUUUGUAGUUUUAAAAAAGUUUCACUGGAUCUAAAAGAAAUCUAAAAGAAAUUUAGAUUAAUUAUUUGUGAUAAGUCAGUAUAAAUAAAAAUACCUAAGGCAUCAAAUGCCAAUGUGAGAGAAAAAUAUUUACAAUUUAGUGUAGUAUACAAAAUUAGU